AAAACUUCUCCAGGAAGAGAGUCCAGUGUGCAUUUAACUCAAGUUCAGUUAUUCAAAAGUGAUUAGGUGUUUUAAAGAGAGACUCAAGGAAUAGACAAGUGCACGUAUGGGGGCUCAGUAGAGUGAGGAAAGUAAAACAUUACGAAAAGCAGGAAGUGAAAGGUUGGUCUAUGUGAAACCAAUCUGGGUUUACUAACUGGUACUAAAUGGAAGUUAGGCUUCUACUUCUCACCACAGCUGGGAACAGGGGUCCUGUUCAGGUAACUGUUGGCUGGAACAAAUACUAAAUUCUUUUGGCACCCAUGAGUUUCCUUAGGCAGGCACUAAGGAUCACAGUAACUUUGUUACUGUUUCCUUCAAGGCUUUAUUGGCCAAGGUUGAGACUUGGUGGAGAAGAGAGCCCAGAGAAGCUUGACUUUGGUCAAGGGGAGAAUCUUUUUCAGCAGAUGUAUCAGUUAAGAGGCCAUUUCCUUGUCCAGAAGAAAGAUAAUGGAUGAGUGACAUGUACAAGAAAGAUAAUGGAUGGGGAUAUGUAGAUGAGUUAUGUGUGAUACUUUGGAGAGGGGACCAAGAUGACUUGCUGUUGAAUUGGCAUACUCCCUAUGGAAUGGAUUGAAGAAAGCCUUUUCCUUCACUGAAUUCUUUGACAACCAUCAAGUCAAAACACUAAACAAACUAUGUUGCAUUUCCUUCUAUAAAUUUUUAAAAAACAAAAGAUGAAUGUCACUCUUGAAAGCAAUUUCUGUUUAAAAUGGAAAUGCAAAAUAUAUUUUUCUUAUAAACACAGUCAUGUUGAAUUGUAUCCCAUGCUGUGUUAACUAGUUUCUUGCUGUGUAUUUUAAGUUUCCCAACUUCUUUUAUGUAUACACUCAUUCUAA
rnacentral:lncRNA from 1 species